CAUUUUGAAAUCCCUAAGGUAGAAGAUAAUGUAUUUAUUUGCUGUCUCUAAGUGAUGUCCCCUACCUUGUCCUUCACCAUUGAAUGGAAGUCAAGUGUGCCUAUCCCUACUGCUUCCCACAUGUGGCUGCCUCUUCCUGAAGGAACUCCCCUGUCUGGCACUGGGAAAAUAUCUAUUCUUCUUAAAUCUCUCAAAUGAAUGAAAUUGUUCCUAACCGACUUAUGUCUUACUCAGUCCUUCAGGGAGAUUACUCUAUUAUUUCUGCUGCCUCUAAAUCUGGUACUUAUUUUUUAUCAGGACACUCAUAAGGUGUUGUUACUACAUCCGUUAGUUUAAACCAGGGAUCCUCAAUCUGUAGGUCACAACCCAUUUGGGAGCCGAACAACCGUUUCAUAAAAGUCAGCUAAGACCAUCAGAAAACACAGACAUUUACGUUAUGAUUCAUACCAGUACUAGAAUUUCAGUUGUGAAGUAGCAGUGAGAAUAAUUUUAUGGUUGAAGGUCUGCACGACAUGGGGAACUGUAUUAAAGGGUUGUAGCAUCAGGAAGGUGAAGACCCACUGGUUUGAACCCUCCCCUAUUAAAUUAGGUCAGAAAUAGAAUGCUUAGGGAUUGGUGAGAAGUCAGGUGAGUAAAUUUACUUCAUUUCCUUGCAUUUUCAUAGCAUAGGGUUCUCUUCAAACAUGUUCUAUUCAAAAUAACAAGUGUGGUUCAAUUUCGCAGCGGUGGCAGAGAGAGAUCAUCAGCGCAGGUGACCACGAUCUCCCAGUAGCGCUACAGUGAAUGGCUUUCGUUAUGUCCGUGAGAGACAGCAACACUAUUUCUGAGUUUCUGAAGUGUGUUGAGAGUGGUGGUUUAGUUAUAGCAUAAACAAAGAACAAAGGGCAGUUUGUUUGCGUAUCUAAAUGGGGGAUUGUUGGGGAAGAGUAGUGCCAGCCACUGCAGAGUGGAUAGGGUUUUAUUUCUUUCAAGAUAGAUUGGCUGCUGGCUUGCCCGAGUUCCUGCUGUUUUAUAGCCUUCCCCUUGAAUCAGAAAAUGAAUAACUCUCUUUCUUUUUUCCUUGAAUUGCUGGUGAAAAAAAAAUCUAUAAUUUAAAUCAAACUGAAAAAAAAACUAUUGUCAUUAAAAUUAAGUUCCCCUGGAAUUUUACCCAAGUGACUCAUUGCCAAAAUAUCGGAUAUCUUGUUUAUUAAAUACUGUGGGUGUUUAUGUAAAUAGCGUGAUGAGAGAAUGCAGAUACACAAUUGAAUAUUGUACUAUUAGGUGAAGAUGUUCCUGGAGACCUUUUGCUGAAAGAUAGUCUAACAAAAAUUAACAAGUUCCACGAUUUAAUUUUGACUUUGUUUUUUGCUUAAUAAACAUUUCUUGAGUGCAGAAAAAUUCCCCGAAGGGAACAGAAGCAUCAAGAAAUAAAUUAUGCCCAGAAUCAAAACUCACGAGGCAGAUGGAAGCUUUUGAGAUGAAACUUUGGAGUCUCAGUAAGAGCCGGUGUGGUGUGUAGUUCUCUAACCCCAGCUCUCAGAAAGGACAGGCAGGUUUUUUGUAGAACCCUUUUUCACAAGGAAACAACAGCAACAUCAGCAACAACACAAGAAUCACAGGAAGACACGGGAUGGGUUUCUGGCCUAAAAACAGAGGACACGGGGCUAUUUCCAACAUUUUUUUCCUUUCACGUGGUGACUGGAGAAGUCUCCGGUCCCUAGGGAAGACAGGGGACUGAGGUUGAGUCCUGGAAGACCUUUGGAUUUAAUUUGUUCAUGAGUGUGGCAACUAAUUUUGUAUGUGGAACUGGCCAUUCUCAAGGAUCCAGCCAUUUAAACGAAUGUGAAUGUGGGUGUUGCCGUGAAGACAUUUUGAAGAUCUGGUCAACAUCUCAAUCAGCUUGUUGUAAGAAAAGCACGUUAUGUAUACCACUGGCCAUACACGAAACUGCAUGCUGUCCCCUGUGAGAAGUAGUUAUGCCACCAUCUUCAAAUCUUGCUAAUUUUCAGCCCUUCCAGCCUGCCAUUGGGGAUUUCUUCCUUGCCAGAUUCAUGCCAGUAUCUGUGAGCUAAUUCUUUAAACUAAUUGUCUUUAAAUAUAAGUAGUAUAAAUGCAUACUAUAUAUAAUAUACUAUAAAUAUAUAUUAAUAAAUUUAAGAAAUAUAUGCAUUUGACCACAAUUGCAGGC
ensembl:lncRNA